CAGCCGCCGCGGUAAUACGUAGGUGGCAAGCGUUGUCCGGAUUUAUUGGGCGUAAAGCGAGCGCAGGCGGUUUCUUAAGUCUGAUGUGAAAGCCCCCGGCUCAACCGGGGAGGGUCAUUGGAAACUGGGAGACUUGAGUGCAGAAGAGGAGAGUGGAAUUCCAUGUGUAGCGGUGAAAUGCGUAGAUAUAUGGAGGAACACCAGUGGCGAAGGCGGCUCUCUGGUCUGUAACUGACGCUGAGGCUCGAAAGCGUGGGGAGCAAACAGGAUUAGAUACCCGAGUAGUCCCUGUCUCUUAUAC
rnacentral:rRNA from 1 species